rnacentral:rRNA from 1 species
AGAGUUUGAUCAUGGCUCAGAGCGAACGCUGGCGGCGUGCUUAACACAUGCAAGUCGAGUGCGCAGUUUGCCGUAGCAAUACGGCAGGCGGGCGCACGGCGCACGGGUGCGUAACACGUGGAUAACCUGCCCCCCAAAGGGGGAUAACCCGCCGAAAGGUGGGCUAAUACCGCAUGAUAUCCCAGUGGCUUCGGCCGCAG